ACUCCUACGGGAGGCAGCAGUGGGGAAUAUUGCACAAUGGGGAAACCCUGAUGCAGCCAUGCCGCGUGUGUGAAGAAGGCCUUCGGUUGUAAAGCACUUUCAGUAGGGAGGAAGGUAGUGUAGUUAACACCUGCAUUAUUUGACGUUACCUACAGAAGAAGCACCGGCUAACUCCGUGCCAGCAGCCGCGGUAAUACGGAGGGGUGCGAGCGUUAAUCGGAAUUACUGGGCGUAAAGCGCAUGCAGGCGGCCUGUUAAGUCAGAUGUGAAAGCCCGGGGGCUUAACCUCGGAAUUGCAUUUGAAACUGGCAGGCUAGAGUCUUGUAGAGGGGGUAGAAUUUCAGGUGUAGCGGUGAAAUGCGUAGAGAUCUGAAGGAAUACCAGUGGCGAAGGCGGCCCCCUGGACAAAGACUGACGCUCAGAUGCGAAAGCGUGGGGAGCAAACAGGAUUAGAUACCCUGGUAGCACA
rnacentral:rRNA from 1 species